AAAAGCAGAGCCCUUGGAGUUUAGGAGAGAGAAAGACAAAGAUCCUUAGGGAGAGAAGAAAAUUAGAAGUUCGAUGGCAGAAGUGCAACGGUGUUUGGAGUGAGAUGGAACAAAGGUUCGGUCCAGUCCAUAAAGCAAAUAAUUAGCUUCCAACAGACAGAAUAAUGGAAUGACCUCUCCAGGGUUUGAGUUUUUUUAUUUCUGUCAUUUUUGCAUCUUGUGCAUUUGAGUAUAUUUACUUUGGUUAAAAAUCAUGCUUGGUUUUAAAUAUAAAACCAAAGUUGCCAUGUGUAGGUUUAUGGUGCAAAAUUUGGGAAAAACUCAAAGACAAUACUUUCAGGAGAAAGAAAACACUCAAUGUAUUUCAAGUUCAGUUAACAAAGCACAGAAAACUAAUAGUAAAAAAUUAUCACAUUUUUUACUAUUUA